CAGCGUCAGAGCCCUGGUCUUGUAAACCAGGUGUCGGAGGUUAAAAUCCUCCCUACUG
rnacentral:tRNA from 1 species